rnacentral:rRNA from 1 species
GAUGAACGCUGGCGGCGUGCCUAAUACAUGCAAGUCGAGCGAACAGAUGAGGAGCUUGCUCCUCUGACGUUAGCGGCGGACGGGUGAGUAACACGUGGAUAACCUACCUAUAAGACUGGGAUAACUUCGGGAAACCGGAGCUAAUACCGGAUAAUAUAUUGAACCGCAUGGUUCAAUAGUGAAAGACGGUUUUGCUGUCACUUAUAGAUGGAUCCGCGCCGCAUUAGCUAGUUGGUAAGGUAACGGCUUACCAAGGCAACGAUGCGUAGCCGACCUGAGAGGGUGAACGGCCACACUGGAACUGAGACACGGUCCAGACUCCUACGGGAGGCAGCAGUAGGGAAUCUUCCGCAAAGGGCGAAAGCCUGACGGAGCAACGCCGCGUGAGUGAUGAAGGUCUUCGGAUCGUAAAACUCUGUUAUUAGGGAAGAACAAAUGUGUAAGUAACUAUGCACGUCUUGACGGUACCUAAUCAGAAAGCCACGGCUAACUACGUG